GGGACCCUAGAAGGUCUUUUGAUAUAAGUAGAAGAGGAGCAGUUCAGGGAGGAAUGCCAGCUGAGGGGGAAGUUAUGGAUGUUGAUCAGAGAAUGGAUGGAAGUCUGGGAGUAAGCAUGUCUGAAGAGGGCAUGGGAGAAUCUCAAGGAGGCACUCAGGUCUCGGGGUUUGCUCAACCACCCUAAUAUCAACCAUUUCCACAGGGCCCCGGGUAUUCGAUGGGAGGUACAUCGGAUUACCCCAGCUUUAACCCUUAUCCCUCUUUCAUGCUUUACCCUCCUUUCUAUCCACC
rnacentral:lncRNA from 1 species